rnacentral:rRNA from 1 species
UACGGGGGGGGCAAGCGUUGUUCGGAAUUACUGGGCGUAAAGGGCUCGUAGGCGGCCAACUAAGUCAGACGUGAAAUCCCUCAGCUUAACUGGGGAACUGCGUCUGAUACUGGAUGGCUUGGAUCCGGAAGAGGGAUGCGGAAUUCCAGGUGUGGCGGUGAAAUGCGUAGAUAUCUGGAGGAACACCGGUGGCGAAGGCGGCAUCCUGGGCCGGUAUUGACGCUGAGGAGCGAAAGCCAGGGGAGCAAACGGG